GAGCUACAAGAGUAAUAUUUUUUUUCCUAUAAAAUGUAAAAAUAUUGACUUAGUGUGAAUCAUUUUUUUCGUUUUAUGGAGAAAUACGAAUCAUGUUUUUUUUCUUCUUUUAAAAUGAAAUUAUAAUAACAGUGGAAGUGAAUUUUACCAAAAAGAAAAGGAAAAACAACAUUAAAGGUGGGGUGGGUGUAUGAAAAAAAU
rnacentral:lncRNA from 1 species